CCCGCCUGACUUAAAACAUUUGACACAUCCGCCCACCACUCCACCCCAAGCCACACAAGACGACUUCCCUCACUAUCGUCGACAGCGCAAUGCGAUGCGGGUUUCACGGGCUUUUCCUUCGCGCAUCCAAUGACAUCAGGUAGGAGGGGCACUUGUGCAUCAGCAAUUAAUAUCGUCCUCCCCCACCGUGGCGUUUUCAAGGAGUUACAAAUCUUAUCUGGGAGGUAUUUCGGGUUCUUCUUCUUAAAGCCCGCGGAAAUCAAAAAAAAAAUGAUGUGAGACCGUUCUCAUCUUGGAAGUUCUUUCAAGAAAUUGCCUGAUAGAUAUCUCAUACCCGAGUUUGUCGGACCAUUCAUUUGUUGGUACUUGCCGCUCGAAGGGUUUACUUUUGUCGGACAAAGCGGGACGAUUUCUUUCCCCGAAGCCCAGAUUUCAGAUUUCACUCGUCUCGAGUUGUCGAAAUUAAUACUUACGUGGCAGACAAUGUGAGGAUAGUCGUCAGCGACGAGAUUCGAGGCUCAGGAUCCCGGAAAACUUUGAGCCAAAAAAAAUAAAAAAUCAAAAUCGGGUGGAGGGGAAGGGGAGUGAGUGGGUUUUCAGAAACUCUGCGCAAGAUCUGCCACCAGUAAAUAAGAAAUGGACGUCUUCGGGCUCGAUGGAGCAACCCGCUCAUAUCCUCUAACACUCCUCGUUGUGGUUGAACUCUGAAUAUGGUGAAAGGUCGCUCUAAGCUUCGACUAGAGCGAUUUUUUGGCUGCUCCAGAUGGCAGAAGAUAUCGUUUCGUUGGGUUGAUUCCAGAAGGACACAUUGGCCCCAUGGGAAAUGGAAAGAUAGUGAUUUUGGUCCAGCUCCCUGAUCCAACAGGCCAUAGUUGAACUUAGCCAUAACAACACAGACGUAGCCGCUGAUGGCGUAUGAUAUAUGCUGCAUUUGGGAGAAGUACCAGGCCUGCCCUCCCCGACCCUUUCUGGCUCGAACCAGAUACACUCAGCGGAGGGACACAUACUAGCAUGUAUAAUAUACACUCACUCAGCAGCUACCUAUCUCGUCCAAGCUGCGCUCCUCUUUUUUUAACGUAAAAAGUCCUCACUCAAGGCCUUAGGAGCCCAUUAAGUGAAUGACGCUAUCCAGUUACGCAGCUCUUUGCAUACGGUGACCUGUUUAACCCUCAUCUCGCCUGUGAACGGAGGACAGAUCUCUUUAGGAAACUAUCCAACGUUGCGCAAGUUUUAUUAUUGUAUUGUUCCGGACCAAGGCUUGUGGUUGUUUCCGGACUCGGGGGCACAGGGGAGGAGGGGGGUUUUGGUUACCAUUGGUGGCCCUGACAAAUGGCAUGAGAGAGACGCCGGAAAAAAAAAAAAACCCCCCCCAAAAAAAGCCGCAGUUUAUUUUUGCGUAGCUGUUCCAUCGUAUUUGUGGUUGAUGGCCCAUGUUGGGGGCCUGUAUCAUUCGUGUGCUCUUGGGGCAGGGCAAUCUUUGAAUACGAAGGCGCCAAUGAUGGGAAGAUGCCAUGCUAAAUUACCCAGCAACCAACAAGCCCCAAAGCAGAUUUGUUCGGCCUGCGGGAGCAAAAGAAUUACAGGAAUAAUAGACUCACUCGCCUCUGGAAAUUCCAUUUACCCAGUUCAAACUUGCUAGAAUGCAUCUAAAGUAGGUGAUGGUGAUGCUGGAACAGCCAUGCACUUCUAUUAAUAAACUGCUUCUUUGAACUCGUUAAAAUAUCAGGAUGUCCUCGUUUAAAUAUAUAUAGAUAUAUGUAUAUAUAGUUAUAGAUAUAGCCCCCGCAAACGAAAGGCAAAAAUAAAACCCCGACCCGGACAUUCCAUAUAUAAAAGCCGGUUUUUUGUCACAAUAUUUGGAACCUUGCUUGAAGACGCCCGUGAGAAGAACAUAGCCAACAGGAAAGUGAAGAAGGAAAGGAAUGCCAAUAAAAGUGUGGACCUGGAAAAAACAGGAAAAAUAAAAGAAUUUGCGAAUGAGAGGUCAUAAUAUGCACUGGCCAAGUGAGGUAGGCAUUUUGCCUAAGGGUCUCCAGAGACUAGGAUGACAUAUCCUGAAAUUAUAAUGAUCUCCUCACAAAAAUAGUGAAAGAAUUAUGAAUAGAAUACGGAAUUUGGAAAGAGGGGGAAAUAGCAAUCAAGGUAAAAAAAGGAAAGAAAAGGAAAGAAAAGAGGAGAAAAAUUAGAACGAAAAUGCAAAUAUCCAAUUGCAUGAAUAGGAGGAGUGAAACUUCAGAAGAGAGAGUUGCUGGAGCAGCCAGGCCAAGACUUGUAAUAAUCUGAGGGACUGGAAUAGCAUUUAGAGUGAUAUAUAUCCACAGUGCCAUAUCCAAAUGUGCUCUCAUUAUUUCAUUGUUGAAAUUUGGUGUUUGCUUGGUGCCACACCACGUAAAUGGAAGGUGCGCAAUUGAGCAAGAGAAGGGUCAGAAAAUACACAACAAUGAAAGUUGAAACCAUCAAGGCAGUUAACCAAAAAAAUCUCUUAUUUCUCUCUCGGUGCUUCUCAUUAGCCUAUCUUACAGGUGCCAAAAUUUGGGGCGAGCACUGGCAAAGAGACGAGAUUCAAAAAUGCAUUGAAGGGAUAAGUUAAAGAUAAUAUGGGAGAAAGAGAAGAAAUGGGUAUCAGCUCAUUUAAACGUGUGUUUCAGGUUUCUCCAAGAUGUAGGUAAUGGGGUUGUCGCCCGAGCAGUGGACAAUCCAUUGGAUCCAGAUUGGGCGUUCCCCCUACUAGCCAGCAUUGAAAGUCGGUCCUUUUCUUCCCUGAUUGCGGUUCUACGGGCGGCACGAAGCUCCUCGACGCGGGCUUGGGUCAGCCUGAAUCGCCGUGUGAAACACUCGUCUACCAGAGCACUCGCAUCUAUAAGUUUUUUUGGUGCAGAUUGCACCACCUGGAAAAUCUCCAUCGGGUCACUGAGACUGAGUAUUUCCUUUUCGCUGCUCUUGAAAAUUGCCAAAGCGACUCUGAAAAAGGUUCUAGACCCUUCAUAGAAGAAAACAUCCCAUACGCGCAGCGUGGUUUCAAGUGGUAGACUGCCGAUGUACAGAGACAUCAACCAGCUCGUUAGGCCAAGAGUAAUGUCGGGCAGUCGUGUUUUGGUAUUGAUUGGUGGAGGUUUAGACUUGGGAGUGGUCGGCGUUGUGCUAGCAACCUUAGUGUAUAUUGCAGGCAUUGAAUCUUUCAAAGCCACCAUGAGAAUCCAGAGAUCAAUAUUUGCGCCUUCAAGGCUGAUCUCAUGGGUUCCAGGCAGGUAGGAUGAUGUGAUAAUGUCAAGCAUCCAAAACGCUUUCUCUUCUGGAAGAAACAGAAGAAGCAUCCCCGCAAUAAAAUUGAGAGACUGCGUAUAGCCGAUCUUUGGAUUAUGCGCCGCAAAUGCAUACAAUACACGGCGCAAUGAUUGAAUGAUUUCGGCUUCUGGGGUUUUAGAGAGAUAUUUUGGAUUACUGCUGCCGCUAUCCGGAGAGGAAUGGACUCCUGGCUGGGGUAUAGGGUCUGGCUUGAAGUGGAUGUUAUCCGGAAAUGUUCUGUGAAGAUCUCGUUCAAUAUGCUCCUUGUCGUCAUUUGAUGGUCCAUUCAUGGUCUGUUCGACUAGCUGGUGAUAACGACCACGGAAUCUGUGGUAGCGGUCGUAACCCCCUGCAUAGUAAAACCAAGCUGCCCCGCGGUAUUCAGGGGGUAUACCUCUCCGGAUAUAGCGUUUGACCUUGGCAGACUUUGGUGGAAAAGUAGGAGGGUUAUCACAUGGCAAGCCAUAUUCCUUUAAUAGCCCCUCCCACUUCUGUUUCCGGGUCUCUUGAUAAGCAGAAUAGGAGCGAAACCAAGUAUCGUAACCACUGGGUGAGAUAUGGCUUGACGAUCUUUGAAAGCCAUAUUGAUCACGUAGGCUAGUUGCAGGAGAUCGUGGGGGUGGAACUAUACCCGGAAGUGCAGGAGGUAUUACCAACCUCAUGGGUUGACGCUGGAAAGAGGCGUGUAUAGGUUUUAUUUCAACUGCUAUAGGAGCUUCGGGAUGAGCCAUGUCACUGUUUAUAGCCUCCUGGAGUUCCAUAGACCUUUGACGUUCAGCGACUUGGCUUUCAAUCAUUGGUACCUCAUUCAUCGGUGUUCCGGUCGCAGGUGCUUCGUUCACCAGGGACUCAGGUAUUUCUCCAACAUAUGUCGGAGAACCAGUCGCAGGGUCAGGGGGAUCAUCAGUAAAGCCAUUUAGAUACAGUGAUAUAGCGUCCUCAACACUCCAUCCUCCGUCUAUAUCAGGUUCUUCUGGCGAUAAAUCAGUGACAGAACUGUUUUUUGUAACAAUGCUGCUUCUUUCUGUACCACUAGUUGGUUCUGCGCUCGAUGCUGUCAAAGCAGAUUGCGAACUGGAUCGUAUUUCACUGUCAAUGCGAACGUCUGGCGGAUGAUAGUGAGGUGGGAAACGUAGCUGAGCAGGGCCUGAAGUAAACGGCAGCUGAUCAAGGCGGAACUGCGAAUGUUGCAUUGGGCGAAUACUCGAAGUUGACGCGGUAGAUUUUAGACCAAUUCGAGGGUUCCCAUUAUGUAGUGCUGGUCGCCUCCUUUCCAUCUCGUUCCUAGAGAGCCAUGACGAUUGACUAUCAUGAUCAGUGGCCGCCUGAUACGUCGGGGAUCGGUAAGUGGGACUAGUAUGGCUCGUAGGCGAUUGAUGAGUUGGAGGGGCAUUGGCCAUAUUGAGGUGACUCGAGGAGGCUUCGGGAAUGGUAGGUUGGUAGGUCGGAGAUCUGCCGGGUUGAUAUGCGCGGUAGGGACUGACAGGGCUGACGGGAGGGCCAUUUUGGGGAAGACCGGAAGUGGUAACUUUUGUUAAUGGAUGCGGAAACGCGCCAUGGCGUUGUUGAGGCCCCUUGACAUCGUUUCGACUAUCGGGAGGAUGGUAUCUGGCAUUUCCAUUUUGUGUGACCAUUGCCACCGAGGAAGAGAAUACUCGUUCUGGACAUUUGCUUCGACAAUUCGAUUGGCCUUUGAGGUCGCUUUUCCCCCGCAACGGAAACCAAAAAACAAAUUAAAAGAAUGGCAAUUAGGUUAUGGUAAUUAUGUACUCGCAAAAAUGGAUGUAAAGGAGCGUUGGGAACUUUGGCUGAGAAGCUGCGCAGCGGGUCGGGCUGUGGGAACCCGGAACAAACGGGUGGGA
rnacentral:sRNA from 2 species